rnacentral:rRNA from 1 species
UACGGAGGGAGCUAGCGUUAUUCGGAAUUACUGGGCGUAAAGCGCACGUAGGCGGCUUUGCAAGUUAGAGGUGAAAGCCUGGAGCUCAACUCCAGAACUGCCUUUAAAACUGCAUCGCUUGAAUCCAGGAGAGGUGAGUGGAAUUCCGAGUGUAGAGGUGAAAUUCGUAGAUAUUCGGAAGCAACACCAGUGGCGAAGGCGG